rnacentral:rRNA from 1 species
CCUACGGGAUGCAGCAGUGGGGAAUAUUGGACAAUGGGCGAAAGCCUGAUCCAGCAAUGCCGCGUGUAUGAAGAAGGCCUUCGGGUUGUAAAGUACUUUCAGCGGGGAGGAAGGCGAUAAGGUUAAUAACCUUGUCGAUUGACGUUACCCGCAGAAGAAGCACCGGCUAACUCCGCGCCAGCAGCCGCGGUAAUAUGGAGGGUGCAAGCGUUAAUCGGAAUUACUGGGCGUAAAGCGCACGCAGGCGGUCUGUCAAGUCGGAUGUGAAAUCCCCGGGCUCAACCUGGGAACUGCAUUCGAAACUGGCAGGCUAGAGUCUUGUAGAGGGGGGUAGAAUUCCAGGUGUAGCGGUGAAAUGCGUAGAGAUCUGAAGGAAUACCAGUGGCGAAGGCGGCCCCCUGGACGAAGACUGACGCUCAGGUGCGAAAGCGUGGGGAGCAAACAGGAUUAGAUACCCGUGUAGUC